AGCGAACGCUGGCGGCAGGCCUAACACAUGCAAGUCGAACGAACCCUUCGGGGUUAGUGGCGGACGGGUGAGUAACACGUGGGAACGUGCCUUUAGGUUCGGAAUAACUCAGGGAAACUUGUGCUAAUACCGAAUGUGCCCUUCGGGGGAAAGAUUUAUCGCCUUUAGAGCGGCCCGCGUCUGAUUAGCUAGUUGGUGAGGUAAUGGCUCACCAAGGCUACGAUCAGUAGCUGGUCUGAGAGGAUGACCAGCCACAUUGGGACUGAGACACGGCCCAAACUCCUACGGGAGGCAGCAGUGGGGAAUCUUGCGCAAUGGGCGAAAACCUGACGCAGCCAUGCCGCGUGGAUGAUGAGGGUCUUAGGAUUGUAAAAUCCUUUCACCGGUGAAGAUAAUGACUGUAGCCGGAGAAGAAGCCCCGGCUAACUUCGUGCCAGCCGCCGCAGUAAAAC
rnacentral:rRNA from 1 species